AACCUCUAGAUUCCUUACCCCAUGGAUCUAAAUAUCAGUCUGAGUGGCUGAAAAUAAGGAGGAAGUGUAAAACUGAAAUGGACUUGCGAUCUUUAGAUGGACAAGUUCAUUUCGAACAUAU
rnacentral:snoRNA from 1 species